CAGCACCUCAAGUGGUCAGGAUGAUUAUUGGGCCUAAAGCAUCCGUAGCCUGCUUUGUUAGUUUUCGGUUAAAUCCAUACGCUCAACGUACAGGCUGCCGGGAAUACUGCAGCGCUAGGGAGUGGGAGAGGUAGACGGUACUCGGUAGGAAGGGGUAAAAUCCUUUGAUCUAUUGAUGACCACCUGUGGCGAAGGCGGUCUACCAGAACACGUCCGACGGUGAGGGAUGAAAGCUGGGGGAGCAAACCGGAUUAGAUACCCGAGUAGUCC
rnacentral:rRNA from 1 species